rnacentral:lncRNA from 1 species
CAAGGACCAGGAGCGGGAGCCGAGCCUCGCGGCCCGGGGCACGGCGCCGCCCGCCCCUCCCCGGCAGUGCCUCCCGACCCCCUCCCCUCCGCUGGGACAUGGCCUGAGGCCCCGCCCGCCGCCCGGGACCCCUCCCCCACGCUGCCCCCGGACCCUCGCCCCAGGACCGCGGGGUCUCUUCCCGGCCCCGCCGCCCGCCCCGGCGAGAACAGGCCCGGCGGGCAAGGCGGCGGCGGACCGAGGGAGGCCUGGCCCGGCAGCGGGGAGAAGGGUGCGGUGCAGCCCGAGUUUCCCACCUUUUCUCCUGGCCCAGACGCGGCUGGGGCGGACGGGACCUCUCGCGCUCUGCCUCCUCCUCUUGCUUCAUGGAGCCAUGCGCCUGGGUGGGGGCUCCCGAGAGAAGCUGGCCUGCGGGCGGGCCGGACGCGCUGCGCGGACGCGGCGGGGCGAAGGAGGCCGGCAGGCGGAGGAGGAAGCGGCGGGGCGGAGGCGGAAGCGGCGGGGCGGCGGCGGCGGCGGCGGCGGGGCGGCGGCGGCGGCGGCCGGGAAGAACUAGAGGUGUUCCCCGGGCGGCUGGAAGACUGAGUCGAGCCGGGACCCGAGUCCUCCGGUAUCCCAGCAGCCACCGGAGGCAGUGAGGUAAUGGAGGAAGAAUGUAGGGAGUCCUCCAGUGGACCACACUCCUUCUAGCGAGCCGCGGAAACCAUAGAGAUCAGGGCUCAGCCGGAGGGCCGGCCCACUGCUGUCACGUGGCCUCCAUCCGUGCGCUUUAUUGGCUGGUGCUGGCUUUACGGGGUUGAAUUUUGGACGCUGCCUGCCAUUCGUGGGACCGAGUUUCAGGCAGCUGGAAUAAAGAGAGACAUCGGGGGAAAGCCGCGAGAAGGCCAGCGUCCCUGGCUGGGAGCAGAGCUAGCCGAGUAGGGCGCCCGGCUGUCAAACUGGCCGGCGCAGUCGCAGAGCCCGUCGGGAGUCGUAGUCAGGGACGGGCCCGCGGCAUUGUCCGCGACGCAGCUCGGGAUCCGGGUCGGGUUGUCGGCCGGGUUGCUGCCGGGCACCGUCGAGCGUUAGCCACCCAGCAUUGAGCUGCCAGCGACUGUUCUCCCUAAGCACCCUCGCUCACGUCGCCUCGCCUCGCCUCGCCUGACCGGCCGCAGCCUUGGAUACCAGCCUUAAAUCGAGCCGACUACGGCCCAGCCCCGCCCGCGGCGAGGUGCGCGGGGUUCGGUGCCAGCCGCUCGCCCCUGGCCGGGCCAGCCUCUUGAUGCACCGGGGACGGGCGCGCCCAUCCGACUCUUCGAGGGGCGGCAGGGCCCCAUCUGUGUCUUUCGCUCUCGAGCCCCCAGCUAGUUGGCUUCAGCGGAAUACCUACUGUGCAGGAUUAUUCAACAAGCCGAUUGAUCACAUUGUUCAGCUCUAGCAGUGCAAAGGCUUCACUGAAAAAGAACAUUACAAAUUUUUUUUGAAAGAAAUUUGGGCGUAAAUUUAAUUUUAAAUACUGAUUUUUGAUAACAUUUGAUCUUAUGACAGCAUUUCUAUUUUUAAUUACAGAUAGGAUUACACUAAAAGUCAUUUCUGACCUGCUCCCUUACCCUUAUGGCUAAAAUAAACUGCUAGGCCCUGAAGCAAAGGCGAGCCAUGUUCUAGAGCAAUGUCUUUCUUGUAUUAAAAUACGGCCCCAUGCUCACAAAAAAAAAAAAAAAAAAAUGUUGGAGUGUAAACAUA